CUACGGGAGGCAGCAGUGAGGAAUAUUGCGCAAUGGGGGAAACCCUGACGCAGCGACGCCGCGUGGAUGAUGAAGGCUUUCGGGUCGUAAAAUCCUGUCAGAAGGGAAGAAAUGCUAUAUGCCUAAUAUGUGUAUAGUUUGACGGUACCUUCAAAGGAAGCACCGGCUAACUCGGUGCCAGCAGCCGCGGUAAUACGGAGGGUGCAAGCGUUGUUCGGAAUUACUGGGCGUAAAGCGCGCGUAGGCGGCCUUUUAAGUCAGAUGUGAAAGUCCACGGCUCAACCGUGGAAGUGCAUUUGAUACUGGGAGGCUUGAGUACUGGAGGGGAUGGUGGAAUUCCCGGUGUAGAGGUGAAAUUCGUAGAUAUCGGGAGGAAUACCGGUGGCGAAGGCGACCAUCUGGCCAGAUACUGACGCUGAGGUGCGAAAGCGUGGGGAGCAAACAGGAUUAGAUACCCCUGUAGUC
rnacentral:rRNA from 1 species